rnacentral:rRNA from 1 species
GACCUGGCCGGGCGGUCCGCCUCACGGUGUGUACUGUCUGGCUGGGCCUUACCUCUUGGUGAGCCGGCAUGCCCUUUACUGGGUGUGUCGGGGAACCAGGACUUUUACCUUGAGAAAAUUAGAGUGUUCAAAGCAGGCCUAUGCCUGAAUACGUUAGCAUGGAAUAAUAGAAUAGGACUU